rnacentral:piRNA from 1 species
UAGUCUCUGAAUUAGCAGAUGAAGAUCC